UUUAUUCCAAAAUGGAAACAAUUCGAUGUUAAUUUGUCAACAUUGCUUUUAUACAACUAAAGAAAGGAAUUAAAUAAUAUACAACGCAUUACGAAAUCACCUCAUACCAUUUUUUAAUACCAACUUUGAUCAAGAAUACUAUGUAGUUUGAUACAAGAAGAAUACAAAAAACAAUGUUAUUUUUAACUGAAAUUCUUGUUAUCCGAAACGGCCUCCCCCCAAUUAUUUCGAUUAAUAGAGGUUUUACUGUACUAAUAUAUUGAUUAACCCUUAAACGCCCAGUGCUGGAUAAAAAGUCCACUUAAUGUACAUUCCCUUGUAACACAUUUAUUAGGUGUUCCAAAAUUUUUCAAAAAUUAUUUAUUGUUAAAAAGUCUGCCCUUUAGAAUAGAAUAGAAUAAUUUUUAUUUGCAUAAAAUUUUUACAUAUUUGAGCAAAUAACGUCAAUUAAAGG
rnacentral:lncRNA from 1 species